GACAAUGACGGGCCAGCUGGCGCGGUAAUAGGUAGGGUCCGAGCGUGGUCCGGAAUUAUUGGGCGUAAAGGGCUCGUAGGCGGUUUGUCGCGGCGGGAGUGAAAACGCAGGGCUCAACCCUGGGCGUGCUUCCGAUACGGGCAGACUAGAGGUAUGCAGGGGAGAACGGAAGUCCUGGUGUAGCGGUGGAAUGCGCAGAUAUCAGGAGGAACACCGGUGGCGAAGGCGGUUCUCUGGGCAUUACCUGACGCUGAGGAGCGAAAGCAUGGGGAGCGAACAGGAUUAGAUACCCCAGUAGUC
rnacentral:rRNA from 1 species